rnacentral:rRNA from 1 species
UGAGAGUUCAAGAGGGCGUGAAACCGCUUAGAAGCAAACAGAUGGAACUGAUGAAGAGUCGGUGUUAAUCAGUCCUCUGCGUCCACCUCAGCCUCGCGUCGGAUGAUUCACCGGCUGUGGGUGUCUGGUGUGGCCAGGGGAUGCAUUUUUCACCGAUGCGCACUGGAAGCCGUGUCUGCGCUGGAUGGAAAGCGGGGAAUGCCGACCAAUUAUGUUGGAGUCCCUUCCCUGCUGGAGACCGGGUUGCGGCCACGGUGAAGUUUUGAAGGAGCACCCGCCUCUACUCGUGGGCGCUGUGUGCCUGGCUCGUACAGACGUUGGUUGCUUGCAACUUGCGGCUGUGCGCGGCUUGUGCACCUGGUGUUUGUCGAGUCGGUGCCAUUCCGGUGUUUGUGUCAGCCACCCAUCUGACCCGUCUUGAAACACGGACCAAGGAGUCUAACAUGUGCGCGAGUCAUUGGGUGGUAAAACCUAAAGGCGCAAUGAAAGUAAAGUCUAGUUCGGCUGGAUGAUAUGGGAUCCUUUGUCGUUGGUGGCAGAGGCGCACCAUAGUCCCGUCCGAUCUGCUUGUCAGAUGGGCGGAGAUAGAGCGUACAUGCUGGGACCCGAAAGAUGGUGAACUAUGCCUGAGCAGGAUGAAGCCAGAGGAAACUCUGGUGGAGGUCCAUAGCGAUUCUGACGUGCA